ensembl:lncRNA
CCUGCAGUCUCUGAGCAUCCCGAAGGGGUGGCUGGGCGACAGAAGCCCCUGGUGCGCGGCCAGCUGGAGGCCCCGACCGAACUGAAGGCAACAAAGGCUCAGCGCUUUACGUGGAGGAGCACUGAAGGGCUGGUUUCAGUAGAGGCUCAGCAAGUAACAGAAGCUCAAAACAUGCUGAAUGAACGCAAGGAGAUUUGAAUAAGAGAAUCAGAGACUCUGACCUUAUCCACACCAGAAUCCAUGGAAAUAAGCAUGAUUAUUUCCAAAUCAACUGUUAAGGUCAUUUGCAAAGGGGGGAGGUAAGGUCUGGGGAGGGCCGUUGAUAACCAACCAUUUCCUGUCCCCCACCUAACUUGUCACGUGGGUGAAACUAAGAUCUGGGCCAGGCCAGAGGUGGGAAGCCAGGGACAGGGGACAUAGCGGGAACAAAGCAGUCUGCCUGCAAGUUGCUCGGUGCAGGUGGACAAAGUGGGUAAAGUUUAGUCCAGAUGGGCUCUCACUGAGAACUCGCUGUACUUCUGGCAAAACACCUGGCUUAAUACUCUCCACAUAGUAUUGUGAUUGUUUAACUGUCUUCUUUGAAUUCUGAUCAGGCAUGGCUGGGCUGUACUCUUGGCCCCAGCUGUAAGAUCUGAGCAAAUGACUGUCCCCAUGGACCCUCAAUGUCUUUAUGUCAAAUGGGAAUGCUGUGGCCAAGGAGGUAUCUAUUAUCAUGGCUUAGAGCCUCACACACGAGGUCAAGAUCUAGAUACAGAGUUUUCUCUGUGUGGCUGGUAAGGAUUCAGGAUGACACACGUCAAGCUCUCACCAGAGGCUGACACAAGGGAGGCCUUCAGUUGACCUCUCCCAGGGCCGGAAUGGAGCUGUCUCCCAGCCUCUGCAUUUGGCACAUACCCUGAAGAGGCAUAUGAAGCCCGGCGGGCAUGUGGUGGUGGGGGUGAGCUAGGAAGGAGUGGAAAGGCCUUGUGUGCCAGGCUGAGGGGUUUAUCCGGGGGCAGUGAAGAACCACGGAGAGUUUUGAGAAGGGCAGGGACUUGGUUGUCACUUGUGGGAGGGGCCUAGCUUAGGCUGACCUCUCAGGGGCUCUUUUUCCCUGAUGUGGCCCCUGCUGCGUGGCACUAAGGAUCCAGCAUCUGUGCUGGAGACUCUGCAGACCUGAGACUCACACGGUGGUGGCACUCAGGCUCCCCAGGCUUCUGGGAUGCUUUGGUGUUUACCCUAUCAUAUUCCGUUCCACUUGGCUUGAGAGUGCUGGGCUGUAGAAAUCCUCCCACUCUGGGUGUGUGCAAAGCAGCACCUCUGGCUCCCUUGACUUUGCACAUAGUGACUUCAGAGGUUGCCAGGAGCCUCACUGGCAAAGACCAGCUCCCUUUUCCUGCGUGGCCACCAUAUGCUAAUGAGCCCUGACUGGGAACCAUUUUCCUAGCCUGCCAAGGCCCUGCUGGAAAGUAGGUGUAAUUCUCUCCCCAUUUUACAGAUGAGGAAACAGAGGCUGGCAGAGUGAUAAGGAGUGCUCAGUGGCAGAGCUAGCCCUGCCUUUGGACCCUGGGUGUUUGAACGCUGCUCCC